rnacentral:miRNA from 1 species
GGUCGGAUGAUUAUUGCGAAUU